rnacentral:rRNA from 1 species
AUUGAACGCUGGCGGCAUGAUUUACACAUGCAAGUCGAACGGUAACAGGCCGCAAGGUGCUGACGAGUGGCGAACGGGUGCGUAAUGCAUCGGAACGUGCCCAGUCGUGGGGGAUAACUACUCGAAAGAGUAGCUAAUACCGCAUACGAUCUAUGGAUGAAAGCGGGGGACCGUAAGGCCUCGCGCGAUUGGAGCGGCCGAUGUCAGAUUAGGUAGUUGGUGGGGUAAAGGCUCACCAAGCCAACGAUCUGUAGCUGGUCUGAGAGGACGACCAGCCACACUGGGACUGAGACACGGCCCAGACUCCUACGGGAGGCAGCAGUGGGGAAUUUUGGACAAUGGGCGCAAGCCUGAUCCAGCAAUGCCGCGUGCAGGAAGAAGGCCUUCGGGUUGUAAACUGCUUUUGUACGGAACGAAACGGUUCUGGUUAAUACCCGGGGCUAAUGACGGUACCGUAAGAAUAAGCACCGGCUAACUACGUG